rnacentral:rRNA from 1 species
AGGUGGUGUAUCUAAUAGGUGCAUCAAUUGACGUUAAUACAGAAGAAGCACCGGCUAACUCCGUGCCAGCAGCCGCGGUAAUACGGAGGGUGCGAGCGUUAAUCGGAAUGACUGGGCGUAAAGGGCAUGUAGGCGGAUAAUUAAGUUAGGUGUGAAAGCCCUGGGCUCAACUAGGAAUUGCACUUAAAACUGGUUAACUAGAGUAUUGUAGAGGAAGGUAGAAUUCCACGUGUAGCGGUGAAAUGCGUAGAGAUGUGGAGGAAUACCGGUGGCGAAGGCGGCCUUCUGGACAGAUACUGACGCUGAGAUGCGAAAGCGUGGGGAGCAAACAGGAUUAGAUACCCUGGUAGUCCACGCUGUAAACGAUGUCGAUUUGGAGUUUGUUGCCUAGAGUGAUGGGCUCCGAAGCUAACGCGAUAAAUCGACCGCCUGGGGAGUACGGCCGCAAGGUUAAAACUCAAAUGAAUUGACGGGGGCCCGCACAAGCGGUGGAGCAUGUGGUUUAAUUCGAUGCAACGCGAAGAACCUUACCUGGUCUUGACAUCCACAGAAUCUUGCAGAGAUGCGAGAGUGCCUUCGGGAACUGUGAGACAGGUGCUGCAUGGCUGUCGUCAGCUCGUGUUGUGAAAUGUUGGGUUAAGUCCCGCAACGAGCGCAACCCUUAUCCUUUGUUGCCAUUGGUUCGGCCGGGAACUCAAAGGAGACUGCCGUUGAUAAAGCGGAGGAAGGUGGGGACGACGUCAAGUCAUCAUGGCCCUUACGACCAGGGCUACACACGUGCUACAAUGGCGUAUACAAAGGGAGGCGACCUCGCGAGAGCAAGCGGACCUCAUAAAGUACGUCUAAGUCCGGAUUGGAGUCUGCAACUCGACUCCAUGAAGUCGGAAUCGCUAGUAAUCGUGAAUCAGAAUGUCACGGUGAAUACGUUCCCGGGCCUUGUACACACCGCCCGUCACACCAUGGGAGUGGGUUGCACCAGAAGUAGAUAGCUUAACCUUCGGGGGGGCGUUACCACGAGUCCG